UACGUAGGGUCCGAGCGUUGUCCGGAAUUAUUGGGCGUAAAGAGCUCGUAGGCGGUCUGUUGCGUCGGUUGUGAAAACCUGGGGCUCAACUCCAGGCCUGCAAUCGAUACGGGCAGACUAGAGUUCGGUAGGGGAGACUGGAAUUCCUGGUGUAGCGGUGAAAUGCGCAGAUAUCAGGAGGAACACCGGUGGCGAAGGCGGGUCUCUGGGCCGAUACUGACGCUGAGGAGCGAAAGCGUGGGGAGCGAACAGG
rnacentral:rRNA from 1 species